rnacentral:rRNA from 1 species
UACGUAGGUCCCGAGCGUUGUCCGGAUUCAUUGGGCGUAAAGGGAACGCAGGCGGUCUUUUAAGUCUGAUGUGAAAGCCUUCGGCUUAACCGGAGUAGUGCAUUGGAAACUGGGAGACUUGAGUGCAGAAGAGGAGAGUGGAACUCCAUGUGUAGCGGUGAAAUGCGUAGAUAUAUGGAAGAACACCAGUGGCGAAAGCGGCUCUCUGGUCUGUAACUGACGCUGAGGUUCGAAAGCGUGGGUAGCAAACAGG